CCCUUAGAUGUUCUGGGCCGCACGCGCGCUACACUGAUGCAUUCAACGAGCCUAUCCUUGACCGACAGGUCCGGGUAAUCUUUGAAUCUGCAUCGUGACGGGGAUAGAUUAUUGCAAUUAUUAAUCUUCAACGAGGAAUGCCUAGUAGGCGCAAGUCAUCAGCUUGCGUCGAUUACGUCCCUGCCCUUUGUACACACCGCCCGUCGCUCCUACCGAUUGGGUGUGCUGGUGAAAUGUUCGGAUCGGCCGUUUGUCGCGGUUUCCGCGGCUUGCGGCUGAGAAGUUCAUUAAACCCUCCCACCUAGAGGAAGGAGAAGUCGUAACA
rnacentral:rRNA from 1 species